rnacentral:rRNA from 1 species
GGGUUGUGAGGUUAAGCGACUAAGCGUACACGGUGGAUGCCCUGGCAGUCAGAGGCGAUGAAGGACGUGCUAAUCUGCGAUAAGCGUCGGUGAGGUGAUAUGAACCGUUAUAACCGGCGAUUUCCGAAUGGGGAAACCCAGUGUGUUUCGACACACUAUCAUUAACUGAAUCCAUAGGUUAAUGAGGCGAACCGGGGGAACUGAAACAUCUAAGUACCCCGAGGAAAAGAAAUCAACCGAGAUUCCCCCAGUAGCGGCGAGCGAACGGGGAGGAGCCCAGAGCCUGAAUCAGUGUGUGUGUUAGUGGAAGCGUCUGGAAAGGCGCGCGAUACAGGGUGACAGCCCCGUACACAAAAAUGCACAUAUUGUGAGCUCGAUGAGUAGGGCGGGACACGUGGUAUCCUGUCUGAAUAUGGGGGGACCAUCCUCCAAGGCUAAAUACUCCUGACUGACCGAUAGUGAACCAGUACCGUGAGGGAAAGGCGAAAAGAACCCCGGCGAGGGGAGUGAAAAAGAACCUGAAACCGUGUACGUACAAGCAGUGGGAGCCUCUUAAUGGGGUGACUGCGUACCUUUUGUAUAAUGGGUCAGCGACUUAUAUUCUGUAGCAAGGUUAACCGAAUAGGGGAGCCGAAGGGAAACCGAGUCUUAACUGGGCGUUAAGUUGCAGGGUAUAGACCCGAAACCCGGUGAUCUAGCCAUGGGCAGGUUGAAGGUUGGGUAACACUAACUGGAGGACCGAACCGACUAAUGUUGAAAAAUUAGCGGAUGACUUGUGGCUGGGGGUGAAAGGCCAAUCAAACCGGGAGAUAGCUGGUUCUCCCCGAAAGCUAUUUAGGUAGCGCCUCGUGAAUUCAUCUCCGGGGGUAGAGCACUGUUUCGGCAAGGGGGUCAUCCCGACUUACCAACCCGAUGCAAACUGCGAAUACCGGAGAAUGUUAUCACGGGAGACACACGGCGGGUGCUAACGUCCGUCGUGAAGAGGGAAACAACCCAGACCGCCAGCUAAGGUCCCAAAGUCAUGGUUAAGUGGGAAACGAUGUGGGAAGGCCCAGACAGCCAGGAUGUUGGCUUAGAAGCAGCCAUCAUUUAAAGAAAGCGUAAUAGCUCACUGGUCGAGUCGGCCUGCGCGGAAGAUGUAACGGGGCUAAACCAUGCACCGAAGCUGCGGCAGCGACACUAUGUGUUGUUGGGUAGGGGAGCGUUCUGUAAGCCUGUGAAGGUGUACNNNNNNNNNNNNNNNNNNNNNNNNNNNNNNNNNNNNNNNNNNNNNNNNNNNNNNNNNNNNNNNNNNNNNNNNNNNNNNNNNNNNNNNNNNNNAGGUAUGCUGGAGGUAUCAGAAGUGCGAAUGCUGACAUAAGUAACGAUAAAGCGGGUGAAAAGCCCGCUCGCCGGAAGACCAAGGGUUCCUGUCCAACGUUAAUCGGGGCAGGGUGAGUCGACCCCUAAGGCGAGGCCGAAAGGCGUAGUCGAUGGGAAACAGGUUAAUAUUCCUGUACUUGGUGUUACUGCGAAGGGGGGACGGAGAAGGCUAUGUUGGCCGGGCGACGGUUGUCCCGGUUUAAGCGUGUAGGCUGGUUUUCCAGGCAAAUCCGGAAAAUCAAGGCUGAGGCGUGAUGACGAGGCACUACGGUGCUGAAGCGACAAAUGCCCUGCUUCCAGGAAAAGCCUCUAAGCAUCAGGUAACAUCAAAUCGUACCCCAAACCGACACAGGUGGUCAGGUAGAGAAUACCAAGGCGCUUGAGAGAACUCGGGUGAAGGAACUAGGCAAAAUGGUGCCGUAACUUCGGGAGAAGGCACGCUGAUAUGUAGGUGAAGCGACUUGCUCGUGGAGCUGAAAUCAGUCGAAGAUACCAGCUGGCUGCAACUGUUUAUUAAAAACACAGCACUGUGCAAACACGAAAGUGGACGUAUACGGUGUGACGCCUGCCCGGUGCCGGAAGGUUAAUUGAUGGGGUUAGCGGUAACGCGAAGCUCUUGAUCGAAGCCCCGGUAAACGGCGGCCGUAACUAUAACGGUCCUAAGGUAGCGAAAUUCCUUGUCGGGUAAGUUCCGACCUGCACGAAUGGCGUAAUGAUGGCCAGGCUGUCUCCACCCGAGACUCAGUGAAAUUGAACUCGCUGUGAAGAUGCAGUGUACCCGCGGCAAGACGGAAAGACCCCGUGAACCUUUACUAUAGCUUGACACUGAACAUUGAGCCUUGAUGUGUAGGAUAGGUGGGAGGCUUUGAAGUGUGGACGCCAGUCUGCAUGGAGCCGACCUUGAAAUACCACCCUUUAAUGUUUGAUGUUCUAACGUGGGCCCCUUACCGGGGUUGCGGACAGUGUCUGGUGGGUAGUUUGACUGGGGCGGUCUCCUCCUAAAGAGUAACGGAGGAGCACGAAGGUUGGCUAAUCCUGGUCGGACAUCAGGAGGUUAGUGCAAUGGCAUAAGCCAGCUUGACUGCGAGCGUGACGGCGCGAGCAGGUGCGAAAGCAGGUCAUAGUGAUCCGGUGGUUCUGAAUGGAAGGGCCAUCGCUCAACGGAUAAAAGGUACUCCGGGGAUAACAGGCUGAUACCGCCCAAGAGUUCAUAUCGACGGCGGUGUUUGGCACCUCGAUGUCGGCUCAUCACAUCCUGGGGCUGAAGUAGGUCCCAAGGGUAUGGCUGUUCGCCAUUUAAAGUGGUACGCGAGCUGGGUUUAGAACGUCGUGAGACAGUUCGGUCCCUAUCUGCCGUGGGCGCUGGAGAACUGAGGGGGGCUGCUCCUAGUACGAGAGGACCGGAGUGGACGCAUCACUGGUGUUCGGGUUGUCAUGCCAAUGGCACUGCCCGGUAGCUAAAUGCGGAAGAGAUAAGUGCUGAAAGCAUCUAAGCACGAAACUUGCCCCGAGAUGAGUUCUCCCUGACUCCUUGAGAGUCCUGAAGGAACGUUGAAGACGACGACGUUGAUAGGCCGGGUGUGUAAGCGCAGCGAUGCGUUGAGCUAACCGGUACUAAUGAACCGUGAGGCUUAACCUUACAACGCCGAAG